CGAGUACAUAAACCGCUAGGCGCACGCGGAGAAGUCCUUUCUGUUCAGUAAAAACACGAGGGGAACACGUCUUGACAGGAUUCAGAAACAAAAGCUCCGGUAUUUCUCGAGGGCUUCACGAAUUAACGUUAAUGACGGAGAUCAACCGCAUUUACCUUGGACGUCCGAAGCUGCCGCCUCUUCAGUGAACCUCCGUUUUCAUGAUACUUGCACUUUUUAAACCUCUUAAACCCAAUAAAUUUUUUGAUUGAA
rnacentral:lncRNA from 1 species